rnacentral:rRNA from 1 species
GACGAACGCUGGCGGCGUGCUUAACACAUGCAAGUCGAACGGAAAGGCCCUGCUUUUGUGGGGUGCUCGAGUGGCGAACGGGUGAGUAACACGUGAGUAACCUGCCCUUGACUUUGGGAUAACUUCAGGAAACUGGGGCUAAUACCGGAUAGGAGCUCCUGCUGCAUGGUGGGGGUUGGAAAGUUUCGGCGGUUGGGGAUGGACUCGCGGCUUAUCAGCUUGUUGGUGGGGUAGUGGCUUACCAAGGCUUUGACGGGUAGCCGGCCUGAGAGGGUGACCGGCCACAUUGGGACUGAGAUACGGCCCAGACUCCUACGGGAGGCAGCAGUGGGGAAUAUUGCACAAUGGGCGGAAGCCUGAUGCAGCAACGCCGCGUGCGGGAAGACGGCCUUCGGGUUGUAAACCGCUUUCGCCUGUGACGAAGCGUGAGUGACGGUAAUGGGGAAAGAAGCACCGGCUAACUACGU